rnacentral:rRNA from 1 species
GAUGAACGCUGGCGGCGUGCCUAAUACAUGCAAGUCGAACGCUGGAAAUCUAGCUUGCUAGAUUGAAGGAGUGGCGAACGGGUGAGUAAUACAUAAGCAACCUACCCACGAAGACUGGGAUAAUCUCUGGAAACGGGGACUAAUACCGGAUAGGUAAUCGGAAGGCAUCUUCUGAUUAUUAAAGGUUAAAAACACUGGUGGAUGGGCUUAUGGCGCAUUAGUUAGUUGGUGAGGUAACGGCCCACCAAGACGAUGAUGCGUAGCCGGCCUGAGAGGGUGAACGGCCACAUUGGGACUGAGACACGGCCCAGACUCCUACGGGAGGCAGCAGUAGGGAAUUUUCGGCAAUGGGGGAAACCCUGACCGAGCAACGCCGCGUGAGAGAUGACGGCCUUCGGGUUGUAAAGCUCUGUUGUAAGGGAAGAACGGUAGAUAGAGAAUAUCUAAAUGACGGUACCUUACCAGAAAGCCACGGCUAACUACGUG